rnacentral:rRNA from 1 species
UACGUAGGGUGCGAGUGUUGUCCGGAAUUAUUGGGCGUAAAGAGCUCGUAGGCGGUGUGUCACGUCGGCCGUGAAAACCUGGGGCUUAACUCUGGGCGUGCGGUCGAUACGGGCAUCACUAGAGUUCGGCAGGGGAGACUGGAAUUCCUGGUGUAGCGGUGAAAUGCGCAGAUAUCAGGAGGAACACCGGUGGCGAAGGCGGGUCUCUGGGCCGAUACUGACGCUGAGGAGCGAAAGCAUGGGUAGCGAACAGG